CCUAUACCCCCUUUUGCGCUGAAUAUGCCGCAUCUGACCUAUACCCCCUUUUGCGCUACUGGGCUCAGAUGGCUUACCUCUUGUACUUUACAAUCUGAAUAUCUUGGGGCCUCCCAAACACACACUGUUCUGUUAAUAAAACUGCGUCAUCACGUGAUGUAUUAAAAGUAUUCAUAGCAGGACCGAAAAUUUGUCACUCACCCAGUCGAUCUGAAUUUUUUAAACAUCGGGCUUAAGAUAAUUUUAAUGCCCUGACGGUGGGGCUUUGAAUUAGUCGAAUUUACUUCUGUACUUUAUACUUUAGAAUAAUAUCGAGUGUUUUAUCUCCAGGCUCUGACCUAUCGGGUAAUCUCUUUGUUACUUUGUCUUAAAUAAAUAAAAGUGUCAAGAGCUGAAAAUGUUCGAUGUUUAGCAACAAUUUUUUUCAUACAGCAAACUGCUUUCUAACGGCCUUUUAAAGAUUUGUCAAAAACAUUUGUUGUGUUAUGUUUUACUGCUGUGUAGCUUGUAACCAUUCUCUUUAAGGUGUGUGUGUGUGUGUGUGUGUGUGUGUGUGAGAGAGAGAGAGAGAGAGAGAGAGAGAUUCAUUCUUAAAUUUAAAACAGAGCCGUGAAAGUCAAGUAACUCACAUGACCAUAUACACCCCUGAGCCAUAGCUUAAAAUUGUUUCUGCAAUAUUAUUACACAUUAUUAGAUUUGAUUAUGCAUUUUGAUGCUUUGCUCUUGUUUUAUGUCACAUACCUCAUACAUUUGAACACUCUGUCUUAAUGGAUGUGUGAUGAUACAAGGAGUAACAAGAAAAUGAUUCUGUCCAUCAAAAUAAGAUUCCAUACCUACAGGGCCUAGUUUUUCAAGUACACCUAUUUUUUUUUUUUGAUUAGCCACAAACAACGGCUUGUUCAUUGUGAUUUUGCAGAUCAAAAACAGAGUGAGUGGCCUCAGAAGAUAUUUUUUAUCACUUACUUUAAACUGAUUGUUCUCUGUCUCUCUCUAUCUCUCUCUCUCUUCUUAUCUCUGUAUUUCUAUGCAGCCAUGUUGGUGAUGCCAUACUUCCGUGUAAGCCUCGCGGCGAGAACUCCACAUAACCACCGGAGGAGGAGGAGAAGAGAAGGACGAGUGGGAGCUGAGCUGCUGGAGGAUAAGACAUGGUUGGAGGAGUGAACUCAGAGCAGGU
rnacentral:lncRNA from 1 species